rnacentral:lncRNA from 1 species
AUUUCUAGGAUCAGACUCUCCUUUACAAACAAAAGUUCCAUCAGCACUGAAAUAGUUACAACCCUUCGUGCCUGCGCAACAGUUGGUGCAUAUUUGAUUGUCCUUCUUUUCUUCUGAAAGUGGGCAAAGUCCGUAGGCAAUUCUUGGAUCACAAUUUAGGGGACAAACUUUUGGAUUUCUAGGAUCAGACUCUCCUUUACAAACAAAAGUUCCAUCAGCACUGAAGUAGUUACAACCCUUCUUACCUGCGCAACAGUUGGUGCAUAUUCGAUUAUCCUUCUUUUCUUCUGAAAGUGGACAAAGUCCAUAGGCAAUUCUUGGAUCACAAUUUCGGGGACAAGCUUUUGGAUUUCUAGGAUCAGACUCUCCUUUACAAACAAAAGUUCCAUUAGCACUGAAGUAGUUACAACCCUUCGUGCCUGCGCAACAGUUGGUGCAUAUUUGAUUGUCCUUCUUUUCUUCUGAAAGUGGGCAAAGUCCAUAUGCAAUUCUUGGAUCACAAUUUAGGGGACAAACUUUUGGAUUUCUAGGAUCAGACUCUCCUUUACAAACAAAAGUUCCAUCAGCACUGAAGUAGUUACAACCCUUCGUGCCUGCGCAACAGUUGAUGCAUAUUCGAUUGUCCUUUUCUUUUGAAAGUGGGCAAAGUCCAUAGGCAAUUCUUGGAUCACAAUUUCGGGGACAAGCUUUUGGAUUUCUAGGAUCAGAUUCUCCUUUACAAAUAAAAGUUCCAUCAGUACUGAAGUAGUUACAACCCUUCGUGCCUGCACAACAAUUGGUGCAUAUUUGAUUGUUCUUCUUUUC